UGGGGAAUAUUGCACAAUGGGCGAAAGCCUGAUGCAGCAACGUCGCGUGAGUGAAGAAGGCCCUUGGGUUGUAAAGCUCUUUCGGUUAGGAAGAAGUGUUUUUUGGUUAAUAACCAAAGAAUUUGACGGUACUAGCAUAAGAAGCACUGGCUAAUUCCGUGCCAGCAGCCGCGGUAAUACGGAAGGUGCAAGCGUUGUUCGGAUUGACUGGGCGUAAAGGGCGUGUAGGCUGGUUUGUGUGUCGAUUGUGAAAGCCCUGGGCUUAACCUGGGAAUUGCACUCGAAACUGCAGAUCUUGAAUGUCUAGGAGGUUGGUAGAAUUCCAGGUGUAGGAGUGAAAUCCGUAGAUAUCUGGAGGAAUACCGGAGGCGAAGGCGGCCAACUGAUAGAACAUUGACGCUGAGGCGCGAAAGCGUGGGGAGCAAACAGG
rnacentral:rRNA from 1 species